GUAACAGGUUAAGCUGACGAGUGGCGAACGGGUGAGUAAUAUAUCGGAACGUGCCCAGUUGUGGGGGAUAACUACUCGAAAGAGUGGCUAAUACCGCAUACGACCUGAGGGUGAAAGCGGGGGAUCGCAAGACCUCGCGCAAUUGGAGCGGCCGAUAUCAGAUUAGCUAGUUGGUGGGGUAAAAGCCAACCAAGGCGACGAUCUGUAGCUGGUCUGAGAGGACGACCAGCCACACUGGGACUGAGACACGGCCCAGACUCCUACGGGAGGCAGCAGUGGGGAAUUUUGGACAAUGGACGCAAGUCUGAUCCAGCCAUGCCGCGUGUGG
rnacentral:rRNA from 1 species